AUUGAACGCUGGCGGCAUGCUUUACACAUGCAAGUCGAACGGUAACAGGCCGCAAGGUGCUGACGAGUGGCGAACGGGUGAGUAAUGCAUCGGAACGUGCCCAGUCGUGGGGGAUAACGCAGCGAAAGCUGUGCUGAUACCGCAUACGAUCUGUGGAUGAAAGCGGGGGACCGUAAGGCCUCGUGCGAUUGGAGCGGCCGAUGUCAGAUUAGGUAGUUGGUGGGGUAAAGGCUCACCAAGCCAACGAUCUGUAGCUGGUCUGAGAGGACGACCAGCCACACUGGGACUGAGACACGGCCCAGACUCCUACGGGAGGCAGCAGUGGGGAAUUUUGGACAAUGGGCGCAAGCCUGAUCCAGCAAUGCCGCGUGCAGGAAGAAGGCCUUCGGGUUGUAAACUGCUUUUGUACGGAGCGAAAAGGCUCCCUCUAAUACAGGGGGCUCAUGACGGUACCGUAAGAAUAAGCACCGGCUAACUACGUGCCAGCAGCCGCCGUAAUAC
rnacentral:rRNA from 1 species